UACAGAGGUCCCAAGCGUUGUUCGGAUUCAUUGGGCGUAAAGGGUGCGUAGGCGGCUCGGUAAGUCGGGUGUGAAAUCUCGGAGCUUAACUCCGAAACUGCAUUCGAUACUGCCGUGCUUGAGGACUGGAGAGGAGACUGGAAUUUACGGUGUAGCGGUGAAAUGCGUAGAUAUCAUAAGGAAGACCAGUGGCGAAGGCGGGUCUCUGGACAGUUCCUGACGCUGAGGCACGAAGGCCAGGGGAGCAAACGGG
rnacentral:rRNA from 1 species